rnacentral:rRNA from 1 species
UACGGAGGGUGCAAACGUUGCUCGGAAUUAUUGGGCGUAAAGCGUGCGUAGGCGGUCUCGCAAGUCGGUUGUGAAAGCCCUCGGCUCAACCGAGGAAGUGCAUUCGAAACUACGAGACUUGAGUACCGGAGGGGAUGACGGAAUUCCCGGUGUAGAGGUGAAAUUCGUAGAUAUCGGGAGGAACACCAGUGGCGAAGGCGGUCAUCUGGACGGAUACUGACGCUGAGGCACGAAAGCGUGGGGAGCAAACAGG